AUAUUUUCUCAGCCUUCCGGCUAAGAUCAAGUGUAGUAUCUGUUCUUAUCAGUUUAAUUAGGUGGAAAGCUGUCUAUAAAAUAUCUUGAUUGUUGAAUAGAAUUCCAUGGGUCUGAUUGAUUUUCACAGGAGAUCAAUUUAAAUAUAAGCAUGCUUU
ensembl:snRNA U2 U2 spliceosomal RNA